ACUCCUACGGGAGGCAGCAGUAGGGAAUUUUCCGCAAUGGACGAAAGUCUGACGGAGCAAUGCCGCGUGAGUGAUGAAGGUUUUCGAAUCGUAAAGCUCUGUUGUAAGGGAAGAAUAGCAGUAGUAGGAAAUGACUACUGUGUGACGGUACCUUACCAGAAAGCCACGGCUAACUACGUGCCAGCAGCCGCGGUAAUACGGAGGGUGCGAGCGUUAUCCGGAUUUAUUGGGUUUAAAGGGUCCGUAGGCGGGUUAAUAAGUCAGUGGUGAAAUCCCAUCGCUUAACGAUGGAACUGCCAUUGAUACUGUUAGUCUUGAAUGAGGGUGCAGUGGUUGGAAUGUGUAGUGUAGCGGUGAAAUGCAUAGAUAUUACACAGAACACCGAUUGCGAAGGCAGAUCACUAACCCUAAAUUGACGCUGAGGGACGAAAGCGUGGGGAGCGAACAGGAUUAGAUACCCGUGUAGACUGUC
rnacentral:rRNA from 1 species